GGGUUGUGAGGUUAAGCGACUAAGCGUACACGGUGGAUGCCCUGGCAGUCAGAGGCGAUGAAGGACGUGCUAAUCUGCGAAAAGCGUCGGUAAGGUGAUAUGAACCGUUACAGCCGGCGAUGUCCGAAUGGGGAAACCCAGUGCAAUUCGUUGCACUAUCGUUAACUGAAUACAUAGGUUAACGAGGCGAACCGGGGGAACUGAAACAUCUAAGUACCCCGAGGAAAAGAAAUCAACCGAGAUUCCCCCAGUAGCGGCGAGCGAACGGGGAGCAGCCCAGAGUCUGAAUCAGCUUGUGUGUUAGUGGAACGGUCUGGAAAGUCCGACGGUACAGGGUGAUAGUCCCGUACACCAAAAUGCACAGGCUGUGAACUCGAAGAGUAGGGCGGGACACGUGGUAUCCUGUCUGAAUAUGGGGGGGACCAUCCUCCAAGGCUAAAUACUCCUGACUGACCGAUAGUGAACCAGUACCGUGAGGGAAAGGCGAAAAGAACCCCGGCGAGGGGAGUGAAAAAGAACCUGAAACCGUGUACGUACAAGCAGUGGGAGCACCUUCGGGUGUGACUGCGUACCUUUUGUAUAAUGGGUCAGCGACUUAUAUUCUGUAGCAAGGUUAACCGUAUAGGGGAGCCGCAGGGAAACCGAGUCUUAACUGGGCGUUAAGUUGCAGGGUAUAGACCCGAAACCCGGUGAUCUAGCCAUGGGCAGGUUGAAGGUUGGGUAACACUAACUGGAGGACCGAACCGACUAAUGUUGAAAAAUUAGCGGAUGACUUGUGGCUGGGGGUGAAAGGCCAAUCAAACCGGGAGAUAGCUGGUUCUCCCCGAAAGCUAUUUAGGUAGCGCCUCGUGAAUUCAUCUUCGGGGGUAGAGCACUGUUUCGGCUAGGGGGUCAUCCCGACUUACCAACCCGAUGCAAACUACGAAUACCGAAGAAUGUUAUCACGGGAGACACACGGCGGGUGCUAACGUCCGUCGUGAAGAGGGAAACAACCCAGACCGCCAGCUAAGGUCCCAAAGUCAUGGUUAAGUGGGAAACGAUGUGGGAAGGCACAGACAGCCAGGAUGUUGGCUUAGAAGCAGCCAUCAUUUAAAGAAAGCGUAAUAGCUCACUGGUCGAGUCGGCCUGCGCGGAAGAUGUAACGGGGCUAAACCAUGCACCGAAGCUGCGGCAGCGACACUAUGUGUUGUUGGGUAGGGGAGCGUUCUGUAAGCCUGCGAAGGUGACCUGUGAGGGUUGCUGGAGGUAUCAGAAGUGCGAAUGCUGACAUAAGUAACGAUAAAGCGGGUGAAAAGCCCGCUCGCCGGAAGACCAAGGGUUCCUGUCCAACGUUAAUCGGGGCAGGGUGAGUCGACCCCUAAGGCGAGGCCGAAAGGCGUAGUCGAUGGGAAACAGGUUAAUAUUCCUGUACUUGGUGUUACUGCGAAGGGGGGACGGAGAAGGCUAUGUUAGCCGGGCGACGGUUGUCCCGGUUUAAGCAUGUAGGCUGGUUGUCCAGGCAAAUCCGGAUAAUCAAGGCUGAGGUGUGAUGACGAGGCACUACGGUGCUGAAGUAACAAAUGCCCUGCUUCCAGGAAAAGCCUCUAAGCAUCAGGUAACAUCAAAUCGUACCCCAAACCGACACAGGUGGUCAGGUAGAGAAUACCAAGGCGCUUGAGAGAACUCGGGUGAAGGAACUAGGCAAAAUGGUGCCGUAACUUCGGGAGAAGGCACGCUGGUGUGUAGGUGAAGUCCCUGCGGAUGGAGCUGAGACCAGUCGAAGAUACCAGCUGGCUGCAACUGUUUAUUAAAAACACAGCACUGUGCAAACACGAAAGUGGACGUAUACGGUGUGACGCCUGCCCGGUGCCGGAAGGUUAAUUGAUGGGGUUAUCCGUAAGGAGAAGCUCUUGAUCGAAGCCCCGGUAAACGGCGGCCGUAACUAUAACGGUCCUAAGGUAGCGAAAUUCCUUGUCGGGUAAGUUCCGACCUGCACGAAUGGCGUAAUGAUGGCCAGGCUGUCUCCACCCGAGACUCAGUGAAAUUGAACUCGCUGUGAAGAUGCAGUGUACCCGCGGCAAGACGGAAAGACCCCGUGAACCUUUACUAUAGCUUGACACUGAACAUUGAGCCUUGAUGUGUAGGAUAGGUGGGAGGCUUUGAAGCGUGGACGCCAGUCUGCGUGGAGCCAACCUUGAAAUACCACCCUUUAAUGUUUGAUGUUCUAACGUUGGCCCCUUACCGGGGUUGCGGACAGUGUCUGGUGGGUAGUUUGACUGGGGCGGUCUCCUCCCAAAGCGUAACGGAGGAGCACGAAGGUUAGCUAAUCCUGGUCGGACAUCAGGAGGUUAGUGCAAUGGCAUAAGCUAGCUUGACUGCGAGCGUGACGGCGCGAGCAGGUGCGAAAGCAGGUCAUAGUGAUCCGGUGGUUCUGAAUGGAAGGGCCAUCGCUCAACGGAUAAAAGGUACUCCGGGGAUAACAGGCUGAUACCGCCCAAGAGUUCAUAUCGACGGCGGUGUUUGGCACCUCGAUGUCGGCUCAUCACAUCCUGGGGCUGAAGUAGGUCCCAAGGGUAUGGCUGUUCGCCAUUUAAAGUGGUACGCGAGCUGGGUUUAGAACGUCGUGAGACAGUUCGGUCCCUAUCUGCCGUGGGCGCUGGAGAAUUGAGGGGGGGCUGCUCCUAGUACGAGAGGACCGGAGUGGACGCAUCACUGGUGUUCGGGUUGUCAUGCCAAUGGCACUGCCCGGUAGCUAAAUGCGGAAGAGAUAAGUGCUGAAAGCAUCUAAGCACGAAACUUGCCCCGAGAUGAGUUCUCCCUGAGACUUUAAGUCUCCUGAAGGAACGUUAAAGACGAUGACGUUGAUAGGCCGGGUGUGUAAGCGCAGCGAUGCGUUGAGCUAACCGGUACUAAUGAACCGUGAGGCUUAACCUUACAACGCCGAAG
rnacentral:rRNA from 1 species